rnacentral:lncRNA from 1 species
UUGUAUAAUAUUCUUUAAUUCACACUAACAAUAUUUGAAUAAAUAAACACCACAUUUCAGUCCGAUUACAUCCAUCUUCAAUUCUCCACGAAAUUAAUCUCUUUUUUCCUUCAUUCAUCCAGAUGGUUUAAUAUAUCUACUCAAAGUUGAAGUGAUAAUGUAAGAUUAGACAUGUAUAAACUUGUCGGAAGUAAUAAUUAUGUAAGAUUAGGCUAUUUCUAGUCCUAGCUUAUUCCCAAACAGAUGUACGUACCUGUUGGCCAUCGACCGCACGAUAUCGCGUAUCGAAGUAAACGAUGAGCCAAAGAGGCUUGACCCACGUCGGAGUAGAAUAAAUACUUUUCCUUGGUCAUAAGAGAUCGAGGGAGAAUUGAAACCAUAUAAAAAGUUUACUUAUAACAAAGAGGAUUCCACUGGUAAAAAAAUCUACUUUUCCAAUAUAAGACGACGACGAUCC